AUCAUUACCGAGUGUAAAAACUCCCAAACCAUUGUGAACCUACCACUGUGUUCGGCGGCCUCGCCCCGGGCGCGUUCGCGCGGCCCGGACCCAGGCGUCCGCCGGAGGCUCCAAACUCUUGUCUUUUAGUGUAUUUCUGAGUGGCAUAAGCAAAUAAAUCAAAACUUUCAGCAACGGAUCUCUUGGUUCUGGCAUCGAUGAAGAACGCAGCAAAAUGCGAUAAGUAAUGUGAAUUGCAGAAUUCAGUGAAUCAUCGAAUCUUUGAACGCACAUUGCGCCCGCCAGUAUUCUGGCGGGCAUGCCUGUCUGAGCGUCAUUUCAACCCUCAGGACCCGUUCGCGGGACCUGGCGUUGGGGAUCAGCCUGCCCCUGGCGGCGGCUGGCCCUGAAAUCCAGUGGCGGUUCCCUCGCGAACUCCUCCGUGCAGUAAUUAAACCUCUCGCGGCAGGAUAGCGGUUGAACCACGCCGUUAAACCCCCCACUUCUCAAGGUUGACCUCAGAUCAGGUAGGAUACCCGCUGAACUUAAGCAUAUCAAUAAGCGGAGGAAAAGAAACCAACACGGGAUGCCCUAGUAACGGCGAGUGAAGCGGCAACAGCUCAAAUUUGAAAUCUGGCCUACGGUCCGAAUUGUAAUUUGUAGAGGAUGUUUCUGGCGACGUGUCUUCCGAGUUCCCUGGAACGGGACGCCAUAGAGGGUGAGAGCCCCGUCCGGUCGUACACCUAGCCUCUGUGAAACUCCUUCGACGAGUCGAGUAGUUUGGGAAUGCUGCUCUAAAUGGGAGGUAUACGUCUUCUAAAGCUAAAUACCGGCCAGAGACCGAUAGCGCACAAGUAGAGUGAUCGAAAGAUGAAAAGCACUUUGAAAAGAGGGUUAAAUAGUACGUGAAAUUGCUGAAAGGGAAGCGCUUAUGACCAGACUUGGGCUCGGUGAAUCAUCCGGCGUUCUCGCCGGUGCACUUUGCCGUCCCAGGCCAGCAUCAGUUCGCGCCGGGGGAUAAAGGUUUCGGGAAUGUAGCUCCCUCGGGAGUGUUAUAG
rnacentral:rRNA from 1 species